AUUGAACGCUGGCGGCAUGCCUUACACAUGCAAGUCGAACGGUAACAGGUCUUCGGAUGCUGACGAGUAGCGAACGGGUGAGUAAUACAUCGGAACGUGCCCGAUCGUGGGGGAUAACGAAGCGAAAGCUUUGCUAAUACCGCAUACGAUCUACGGAUGAAAGCAGGGGACCGCAAGGCCUUGCGCGAACGGAGCGGCCGAUGGCAGAUUAGGUAGUUGGUGGGAUAAAAGCUUACCAAGCCGACGAUCUGUAGCUGGUCUGAGAGGACGACCAGCCACACUGGGACUGAGACACGGCCCAGACUCCUACGGGAGGCAGCAGUGGGGAAUUUUGGACAAUGGGCGAAAGCCUGAUCCAGCCAUGCCGCGUGCAGGAUGAAGGCCUUCGGGUUGUAAACUGCUUUUGUACGGAACGAAAAGACUCUGGUUAAUACCUGGGGUCCAUGACGGUACCGUAAGAAUAAGCACCGGCUAACUACGUG
rnacentral:rRNA from 1 species